AACAAGAUGCCUGAUUAAAGGGUUAUUUCGAUAAAAUAAAUCAUGUACUUUUUUACUCUUGUUA
rnacentral:tRNA from 1 species